rnacentral:rRNA from 1 species
GACGAACGCUGGCGGCGUGCUUAACACAUGCAAGUGGUGCGACGAACCAGGGCUUGCCCUGGGGCAAAGCCGCGAACGGGUGAGUAACACGUGAGUAACCUGCCCCGAUGACCGGGACAACCCGAGGAAACUCGGGCUAAUACCGGAUGUGGCGCACAGGCAUCAGCCUGUUCGCUAAAGGAAGCUUCGGCCUCCGCAUUGGGAGGGGCUCGCGGCCCAUUAGCUUGUUGGUGGGGUAACGGCCUACCAAGGCAACGAUGGGUAGCUGGUCUGAGAGGACGAUCAGCCACACUGGGACUGAGACACGGCCCAGACUCCUACGGGAGGCAGCAGUGGGGAAUCUUGCGCAAUGCGCGAAAGCGUGACGCAGCAACGCCGCGUGGGGGAAGAAUGCCUUCGGGUUGUAAACCCCUUUCAGGAGGGACGAAGGUUCACCGGUGAAUAGCCGAGUGGAUUGACGGUACCUCCACAAGAAGCUCCGGCUAACUACGUGCCAGCAGCCGCGGUAAC